rnacentral:rRNA from 1 species
GUAGGAUCCGAGCGUUAUCCGAAUUUACUGGGCGUAAGGCGCGUGUAGGCGGCCGGGUAAGUUGGACGUGAAAGCUCCUGGCUCAACUAGGAGAGGUCGUUCAAAACUGCCCGGCUAGAGGGCGACAGAGGGAGGUGGAAUUCCCGGUGUAGUGGUGGAAUGCGUAGAUAUCGGGAGGAACACCAGUGGCGAAGGCGGCCUCCUGGGUCGCCCCUGACGCUCAGACGCGAAAGCUGGGGGAGCGAACGGGAUUAGAUACCCCGGGUAGUCCUAGCUGUAAACGAUGUGAACUUGGCGUUGGUGGGGUCAAAUCCCAUCAGUGCCGUAGCUAACGCGAUAAGUUCACCGCCUGGGGACUACGGUCGCAAGAUUA